rnacentral:rRNA from 1 species
AUUAGAUACCCGGGUAGUCCCAGCCGUAAACAAUGUGCGUUAGGUGUGUCGGUAACCACGUGUUACUGAUGCGCCGAAGAGAAAUCGUGAAACGCACCACCUGGGAAGUACGGUCGCAAGGCUGAAACUUAAAGGAAUUGGCGGGGGAGCACCACAACAGGUGGAGCCUGCGGUUUAAUUGGAUUCAACGCCGGACAUCUCACCGGAUAAGACAGCUGAAUGAUUGUCAAUCUGAAGGUUUUACAUGACUAGCUGAGAGGAGGUGCAUGGC